GAAACUCGGUGGUAGAGCAUCUGCUUUGCAUGCAGGAGGUCCCAGGUUCAAUGUCUGGCAUCUCCA